rnacentral:rRNA from 1 species
GCACAGCAGUAACAAUACUGUGGGUGGCGAGUGGCGGACGGGUGAGGAAUACGUCGGAAUCUGCCCAGUCGUGGGGGAUAACUAGCCGAAAGGUUAGCUAAUACCGCAUACGACCGAGAGGUGAAAGCGGGGGACCGCAAGGCCUCGCGCGAUUGGAUGAGCCGACGUCGGAUUAGCUAGUUGGCGGGGUAAAGGCCCACCAAGGCGACGAUCCGUAGCUGGUCUGAGAGGAUGAUCAGCCACACUGGAACUGAGACACGGUCCAGACUCCUACGGGAGGCAGCAGUGGGGAAUAUUGGACAAUGGGCGCAAGCCUGAUCCAGCAAUGCCGCGUGUGUGAAGAAGGCCUUCGGGUUGUAAAGCACUUUUAUCAGGAACGAAAAGCGUUGGAUUAAUACUCUGACGUGCUGACGGUACCUGAGGAAUAAGCACCGGCUAACUUCGUG